AGCAGCCGCGGUAAUUCCAGCUCCAAUAGCGUAUAUUAAAGUUGUUGCAGUUAAAAAGCUCGUAGUUGAAUUUCGGGGUUAGUAGGUUGGUCAUGCCUCUGGUAUGUACUGGUCUCACUGAUUCCUCCUUCCUGAUGAGCCGUAAUGCCAUUAAUUUGGUGUUGCGGGGAAUUUGGACUGUUACUUUGAAAAAAUUAGAGUGUUUAAAGCAAGCUAACGCUUGAAUACAUUAGCAUGGAAUAAUGAAAUAGGACGUUCGAUCCUAUUUCGUUGGUUUCUAGGAUUGACGUAAUGAUUAAUAGGGAUAGUUGGGGGCAUUAGUAUUCAAUUGUCAGAGGUGAAAUUCUUGGAUUUAUUGAAGACUAACUACUGCGAAAGCAUUUGCCAAGGAUGUUUUCAUUAAUCAAGAACGAAAGUUAGGGGAUCGAAGACGAUCAGAUCCGUCGUAGUCUUAACCAUAAACUAUGCCGACUAGGGAUCGGAUGAUGUUAAUUUUUUAAUGACUCA
rnacentral:rRNA from 1 species